UCACAGUUAUUUUACCUCUGACAGAAGUCAUUAUAUGUUUUCUUUAUGUUGGUGUUCCUGUCGAGUCGUUUUGUGAAGUUCCUAGCGUUUUUCUUUCAUAUUUGUGAUAUUUCAUCUGUUAGCAUGCCGAAAAGAAUUCAAAGUAGCGGAAGAAAUAUUAUACUAUCGGUGCGUGAUUUCUGUCAAAGAGAAAAAGAAAAUAAUGCUCCUUUAAUUCCAUUUGGAAAUGUUAGUCAAUGAGUUGCCGCUAUGACGGGAAUAUCGGAAAAAACCGUAAGCACCAUAACUAAAGAAGGCGAAGUUGCUGCGUCCACUUCUCAAAAAAAUUCUAAGCCCAGAAAAAAACGCAUCCAAGAAAAAAAUAUUGAUCUUGUAAUACUUGAAAUGUAUACCGUCAGAAAGGAGGUACCUACUUUGGGGAAACUCUUAGCAGAGUUAAAAAUUGAUAUAAAUUUUCGUGGAGGUCGUACUACAUUAUGGAAAAUUAUAUCUACCUACGAAAAAAUGCUGUGCGAAAUUCUAUUUUACUAUUUCUUGUGAGAAAGUGAUAGUCGUUUGAUAGCUAUGAAUGACAGGUAGCCUAAAACGCAAAUAGAUUACUUUAUUUCCGAUUAAGAUAAUUAUCCGGAUGAAUAUAUUGUGGUUAUUACUGUGUAACUAACUAAUACAAUAACAAAUGACAGCUUACAAUUAAUACACUAAACGUGCUUUCUUAAGAUACAAAGUAGCAACUCAUAAAUGGGUUGGUAAUUCUUUGGUACUAGUUAAAUACUUUAUUAUGUUUUUUAUUUUAAAAUAAUAUUAUUAGAUAGGCAUAUUUUAAAAUAAUAUUGUUAAAGAUAUAUAAAGGUAUAGUCUUACAUUAAAUAACAAAGCGAACGGAAAUUAAUAUAAUAAGAUAGGUAUAAAUAAUAUUAUAGGUAUAUUUUUAUCAUCGGAAUCCGAAUAAUGAAACGAUUAUAAUAACUUGUCGUAUUAUCUCUACUCUUCCACCCGAUACUAUUCAUCCACUGCAUAAAAACCAUUAAGUUCAAUCGUUCAUGCGUACGAUGAUCCCCAUCUGUACGAAUUAUCUCUUGGUACGAGCUGGUUCUCUGUACGCCACAUUUGUUAUCAAGUUAGGAAAAAUAGACUAUAAUAAUAAAUAUAUCACACUGA